rnacentral:rRNA from 1 species
UACGUAGGGUGCGAGCGUUGUCCGGAAUUACUGGGCGUAAAGAGCUCGUAGGCGGUUUGUCGCGUCGUCCGUGAAAACUUGGGGCUCAACCCCAAGCUUGCGGGCGAUACGGGCAGACUUGAGUACUGCAGGGGAGACUGGAAUUCCUGGUGUAGCGGUGAAAUGCGCAGAUAUCAGGAGGAACACCGGUGGCGAAGGCGGUUCUCUGGGCCUUACCUGACGCUGAGGAGCGAAAGCGUGGGGAGCGAACAGG